UACAGAGGUCCCAAGCGUUGUUCGGAAUUACUGGGCGUAAAGGGCGCGUAGGCGGUCUUCUAAGUCUUGUGUGAAAUCCCUCGGCUCAACUGAGGGACUGCACGGGAUACUGGAAGACUUGAGUUCGGGAGAGGGAAGCGGAAUUCCGGGUGUAGCGGUGAAAUGCGUAGAUAUCCGGAGGAACACCGGUGGCGAAGGCGGCUUCCUGGACCGAUUACUGACGCUGAGGCGCGAAAGCUAGGGGAGCAAACGGG
rnacentral:rRNA from 1 species